rnacentral:lncRNA from 1 species
AUUUUUCUCACUUACAGAGGGAGAAAUAGUAAACACCCCAAGAUCCAAAAGCUUUAUUUCCCACACAAGCUGAAAAUCCUAUGCUGAGCGGACUAGGCAGAAGUUUCAAGUGGAAAUAAUCACUAAGAUUCCUGCUCUUCUUUGGAAGCCUAGAAAAGAAUAUGCCUGGUUGACUUCCACCUGGGUUCUCACUGGUCUGGACUGAAAGGCUGAGAAACCGGGAAAAGAAUGGUCAUAACUGUCAGAGACCAAUUACGGUUCCCCAUCUGAAGUUGUGCAUAAUGUUAUUGUAAGCAAAACAGGGUUUCAGAUGGCAGCUAAGAGUAGAGAAUGGAAAGUGG